GGCAGCCGGGCGGGAGGAGGGGGGCUGUCACCGACACCACCCGCUGCUGUUGCAAGAGCUGCACGGACAGACUGAAGGAGAAAGUACAUUGGAACCUAUGUUCCUGAAUAACUGGAGGGAGAGGAAGAAGAACCCCAUAAGUAACUGAAGCCUGCUUCUUGUCCUGCCAACCCUUAUGAAAAAAACGGGCAGAGGGAAGCAAACGCCCGCCUGCAGAAGGGUCCAGCAAACAGGAGGAAAGAAGUAAUACAAACAAAAUUGGGAAAACAUUGUCUGGACUGUGGGGAAGUUCUGGUGUGCCUGCAGGGAAACUUUAAAGGAACAAUUGUUCUGUCUGGAAGAGUCCAGAGUUUAUCAUGUCAUGGCAAACUAGUGAUUUGGUUUCUGACCUAGUGAAAGCUAUGAUUGUGCAGAUGUUACCAGCAGUGAUAUUUGAUGCAGCUACUGAAGCACAAAUGCAAAAUUGAAAGGAGAGAUGAAGCAAAAAUACUGAAAACAGCAGGAAAACUGCCACAAAGGCAAAAAGGAGCAAGGAAACCCCUGGCAGACCACAGUUGCUCCUGCUUUGAAUGUUAGAGAUGUAACACUGAGGAGGUUGGAGGGUGAUUAUCUAACAAUUGGUUGUAUUGUUGCAAGUUCUCCUUAAAAUUAACAUUGUAAUGUUCAUGCUUUCUACUGAGCUGAACUGGAAUAAUUUGGAGUAAUUCCUAUAAGUGAUGAUGGCAAUAUCAUACCUCCUUCCCUUCUCAAAAGAGCCUGAAUUUAUAAAACAUUUAAGUAUUCAUCCCAUGUCACUCCCCAAAUUUGAACGUUAGUCCAUAGAGGAAAGCAAAAUAAGAAAAUAUUCUGCACUUCUAUUUUCUUAUCUUAAACAGAAGCUACCAAGCUUGAUGGCUUGAACAUGGAACUGAAAAGCUAUCUCACAUCUCCAAGAGGAUGUAGCUACUUAUCUCAGCAGGGUUUUCAUAUUGCUUUCACACCUUGCAUGUUUACAACUAGUACCCAGCAAGUGUGGGCGGAUCUUAAACAUGAAAUAUAUGCGCUAGCUUCUAUGUCACAAUGUUUGUGAAUUAAAUGUAAAUACUAGUUUCUGAUGCAGUUAAGUUUCAAUUCUAACCGCUGCCAUUUCUGAUUGGCCUCCGAUGAACACAGCUGAAAAUAAUUUGGGUUGAGUUUUUUUAAAAUGUUCUUGCAUGGAAAUAUGAGAUGGUGCAAAUGCAUCUUUUGCUUAGCUCUCCUGUGCUAAACUUUAGAUUUGACAUGAAAACUUGCAUUUGUCCCCUGUGGUGAGAAGUGCAAAUCUAGGUGGAACUCAUUAAUUUCACUGUGGGCUAGCAUUAGGGUUAAAUAUACAAAUUUUGUAUUUUCUGGAUCCAAAGAGAAUUCUACUAGUGAAUGGGGUCAAGCUCUUGACAACUAAAAGACAAAACUUCUGGUUCUUGGGAUCAUGGUUCAUAAAAGAAAAACAUCAUGGAAUAUUUUUGUGUCAAUAUGUUACAUGGGCUGAGCCAGAAAAAAAGCUCAGCCAAUGUAACAUAUUGGCAUAAAAAUAUCCCAUCCCAUAAAAAAUUACGGUUGCAUCAUGUAAUAGGAAAUUGGGAAACUUCCCCCAAUACAGCUCCUUUUUGUCUGAAAAGAAAACAGGUUGACGCUUACAGAUGUUGUUUACAAUUCUUCAGGAGACAGUGUUAUAAAAUGCAUGCAUGGUUGUUCUGUAUGCAUUCUGCCCCAUAGUGUAGCUCUGGGGGACUAAAAUGUUUUAACUGAAAAGGUAAGGAUGAAAAGAGACUCCCAGACCUCCAGCUACCCUGUAGAAUUAAUAAGACAAGCCCCCUCUCCUCAACACACAACACACACACACACACAAGAUUUCUCCAGCACUUUUUCUUUUGAGCAGUAAUGUGAAUGCCUCCCUUCAAAUGGUUAAGGAAGAAAACAUAAAAAGGUUUGGCCUAACACUAUUCCAAACUCAAUCAAAGAGCAACCUUCAUGUGGGAAGAUAUUCAGUGCAGCCCCUAGGUUAGCUUUCUGCCAUAUGCCUGCUUUCACUGCAAGAUACAAAGACUACAUGCUACUUCUCCUCUUGUGUUUUUCUUUUUUACCACCUACAUUCUAAAGAAACAUAUGCAGAGAAGCAGCUGCAGAUUUGUGACAGCCAUGGGCUUUUGUAAGAUGGAGGCAGUUGGAUAUCAGUUGUAGAGGUAAGAAAGAGAGAGGGCAUCUGCACCAAACAAAACUUUCAGGCUUACUUUUGACCAUUUUCGAUAACUCUGCAGCCAUUUUUCUGGAGGCUGUUUAUCUACCAUAAAUACAAACUGUGGAAAGCAGCAGAGACAACCGCUCUUCUGUUGGGGUUUUUCUUAACUUUAUUUUUUUAAAACUGAGUGGCGGGGGAGAGGACAGAGGAAUAAAAGUGCAUAAAACUAGACCAGCUAAGGGUGGGUGGCUUCCUCUGCCACCACAACUGACAGAUGUUGGGAAGAGCAUUAGAAUGCUUAUUCACCCCAACAUAGCAUAGAAAUGUAGCCCUUUGUAGGAUUCAUCUCUAAUUGUUAUUGACUGGAAUCCAUCCAAGCUCCCAUCCUCUGGAUUCACAGAAUGAGCCAUCUUGCAUAUACUAUUACAUCCUCCUACAUACUUCAUCAAACCAUCUGGUCCAGCAAACCAGGCCAAAAUCAGACUUGUGGAUCUCUAACAAAUGGAAAACAUUCUGGAAGCAAUGAAGGGCAGAGAGGAUAAAAAUGAACGAAGUAAAGAAAAUGAAACAUGGAUGAUUUCAAGUAGAAGGGCAUCAGGUUCCAUAAAUUCUAGCGACAUGCUAUAGGUUAGCAAAAUAAGAGUGAGGACUUAACACAAUCUUAUCUGUGUUCAUUUCAACUUCUUUUUUUUUUUCUUAUACCAUAUGGACUUUCACAAAAGACAGUUGUUCUGAAGAGUUGUCAGUCAGACUUUUAUUGGCAUAUACAAAAAAAAUCACAUAUACAGAAUA